rnacentral:rRNA from 1 species
GUUACAAUGGCGUGGACAAAGGGAUGCCACCUGGCGACAGGGAGCGAAUCCCCAAACCACGUCUCAGUUCGGAUCGGAGUCUGCAACCCGACUCCGUGAAGCUGGAUUCGCUAGUAAUCGCGCAUCAGCCAUGGCGCGGUGAAUACGUUCCCGGGCCUUGUACACACCGCCCGUCAAGCCAUGGGAGCCGGGGGUACCUGAAGUCCGUAACCGCGAGGAUCGGCCUAGGGUAAAACUGGUGACUGGGGCUAAGUCGUAACAAGGUACC